rnacentral:lncRNA from 10 species
GGCUGGUUCCCCAUUAGGAGCCCACUCCUGUAGCAAGGGCCUCUCCUGCCUCCUCUGGGAGAGAGAACCCACCCGGCCUAGGCCCAUCUCUGCUGGCCUGGUCAGAAGGACCUGGUCCAGCACCCCUGAGGCAUGUGUCACCCCUUGCCCCCACCCCCAGGCCCCAGGCCCCUCUCUGUGAAUAGGCUGGACACCACGUGUCCUGGCAGCCGCCAGCCCAGCAUCAGUGGCAAGGACCUGGCCGUGGGCCCGGCCCAGCCUGGCGUGGACUGGGAUGUCAUUUACUGGCUCCUCACUCAGCUCUGCAGCUUCCAGGACCCUCCGGCCCAGAGUGGCCCUGCCCAACCCGCCUUGCCUGGGGCUGAUGGCAUAGGGCUCAAGGCUCCGACCUUAUGAAAAAUGCAUGCUCACACUUCCCAAACACAGACGUCAUUGAUGAGAAGCGGAGUCGCCGGUGCCUGAGCCGGGGAGGCCAGAGGAGGUUGUCAGCAUAGUCCCGCAAAGUCAUCACCCUCAGCGGCCACGCUGACUCACUGCUCUCGGAAGGGUCUGUCCUGGCUCCUGGGCUCCUCUGACAAGAUGUUGUCAGUUACACGGGGCGGGGGGGGGACCAGUGCCCUCGGUGUGGGUACAGCCUGGCAACUGCAGGAAGCUGAGAGGGAAACUGAGGUGCCAGCCUGGCUGUUGAGAUCAGAGCCAGCCCCCCGCAGGAUCCCCUCCCAGCAGCUCAGUGGGGGAGCCCUCACCCACCGAGCCCCCUCUCCAUGCCCAGCCUCACUCACAGGAUGUCACUGGGUCCCCGCGAUCUAUGUGGAGGCAGGGCAUUCCCUUUCCUCUCUGGCGAGCGCCCAGGUGGCCAUCUAGCCAAGAAAGGGACAGUAAACAAGCCAUGCCGCGACUGGGACAGGCCAUGUCCUGCAAGGGCUGGUCAGAAGCACAGUCCUCACAGCCGUGGGGCGAGUAUGCCGGGAGGAGUUCUCAGGCAGAGGGAAAAGCCAGUUCCCUGAUGAGGAAACAGGAGGCCAGUGUGACUGGAACAGCCAGGGCGGGCUGGGGACUCCGAGGGAGCUGGGCACUUCCAUGCAGGGCCUCACGGCUGGGUGGGGUGGCUCACACCUGUAAUCCCAGCACUUUGGGAGGUCGAGGCAGGCAGAUCACCUGAGGUCAGGAAUUCUAGACCAGCCUGGCCAACAUGGUGAAACCCCAUCUCUACUAAAUAUACGAAAAAUUAGCCAGGCGUGGGUGGCUGGAGCCUGUAGUCCCAGCUGUUCGGGAGGCUGAGGCAGGAAAUUGCUUGAACCCAGGAGGCGGAGGUUGCAGUGAGCUGAAAUUGUACCACUGCACUC